GCCCCGGUAGUGUAGUCCGGCCAAGCACAUGGGCCUUUCAAGCCUAUAGCCCGGGUUCAAAUCCCGGCCGGGGUA
rnacentral:tRNA from 1 species